AUUGAACGCUGGCGGCAGGCCUAACACAUGCAAGUCGAGCGGAGCGGCGGACGGGUGAUUAAUGCCUAGGAAUCUGCCUGGUAGUGGGGUCUAACGUCCGGAAACGGGCGCUCAUACCUCAUCCUAUCAGAUUCGCCUAUGUCGGAUUAGCUAGUUGGUGGGGUAAAGGCCUACCAAGGCGACGAUCCGUAACUGGUCUGAGAGGAUGAUCAGUCACACUGGAACGGAGACACGGUCCAGACUCCUACGGGAGGAAGAAGUGGGGAAUAUUGGACAAUGGGCGAAAGCCUGAUCCAGCCAUGCCGCGUGUGUGAAGAAGGUCUUCGGAUUGUAAAGCACUUUAAGUUGGGAGGCGUUACCAACAGAAUAAGCACCGGCUAACUUCGUGCCAGCAGCCGCGGUAAUUC
rnacentral:rRNA from 1 species